rnacentral:rRNA from 1 species
GCAAGUCGUACGAGAAACACUCCCUUCGGGGAGUGGAGUAAAGUGGCGCACGGGUGAGUAACACGUGGGUAACCUACCCUCGGGUCCGGAACAACUGGCCGAAAGGCCCGCUAAUUCCGGCAUAAGACCACGCAGGCUUCGGCCUAAGCGGUCAAAGGCGGCCUCUCGAUGAAGCUGCCGCCUGAGGAUGGGCUCGCGGACCAUUAGCUUGUUGGUAGGGUAACGGCCUACCAAGGCUGAGAUGGUUAGCUGGUCUGAGAGGAUGAUC